AUCUCUAUUUUCUCUCUUGAUUUCCUACCUUCUAUCUUAUCUUCUAAAUCUGAUAUAUUCAGUAUAUCCUCAGUAAUUUUUCAACACUUCUUUCGUCUUCUCGUUCCUUCCUAUCAAAAAAGUUCUUUUAUUUAUCCUGUUUUUGGGAUUAUUAUUUUGGAAGAAGGUGAUGAAAAUGGAUGCAGCUGAACCCUUCAACGUUCCUGUCAAUCCCGAAGCUCUGGGAAUUCCUAACGGGAGGAAAAUGCUCGUAUAUGGCUAGAGGCAGCUUUGGAUCUGGUGGUGAUAAGCAUGCUAACGAGUUUAAGCACGAGGUAUUUUAUGGCUUGUGGCAAACACUUUAUCUUUUGGAUGUAACAUCUGAUUCCCAGACAUAAAAUGAGGGUCAUAGUACAAGUAUUAAAUGUAUUUUUAAGGAAUCGGCACAAUAGCCCUGGAGGAGAUGUAAGUAUGGGCACUGAGAGGUAACGAAGAUGGAAUUUAGUGAGAAGCACAGGAGCAUUGAUGUUGAGGAAGAUAUUGAAGCACAGGAGUGCUGGAUAUUUAGGCUGGGUCAUUGAAGUUCUAGCCAGGUAGAUACUCUUUCUGAGUUGGCAAAACAAAGACCUUGGUUCUAGACAAAACACUAGCAGACUUUUACAUAUGGUGGAUGCACUUGAGAGUUCAGAGUCAAGGUCUUGAGAGUUCAGAGUCAAGGUGGAAACAGUGUGUUGUAAAGCAUAUUUUGAAGCAUACUUCAGGUUGAAUGGAACAUCAGAAGCAUUGUAAGAAUGAUUAUUGCUUAACAAAUAAGUUUUUCUGCCACUUAUAUAUUUGCAGGAGACUCAGAAUACAGGGACAAAUAAAAGCUCACACUGAAGCUGACAUUAUUAUAGUAUAUUGAUAAUUUGCAACUUAUGGGAAGCUUGUAUAACCAAUGUUCAUAUCUUUUUGGUGAGGAUGUGUUGACAUUUUCACUCUCCUGGAAGUAAGUGAUUGUUGAUGUGUUAUGGAUUCA